rnacentral:rRNA from 1 species
UAAUAAGUUUUAAAAUUUAACUUUUGAGUUAAAAGGUUUAAAUUUUUCUUUAGGACGAGAAGACCGUAUAGAGCUUGACAUUUUAAUUUUAUAUUUUUUAAAGAUAGUUUUUUUGUAUUUAAUGAUAAUGUUUUGUUGGGGUGACAUGAAGAAUAGAAAAACUCUUUAUUAUAAAAUCAUUAAUUUAUGUUUAUUUUGAUCCAUAAUUUAUGAUCAUAAGAUUAAGUUACCUUAGGGAUAACAGCGUAAUUGUUUUUGAGAGCUCAUAUUGACAAAGCAGAUUGCGACCUCGAUGUUGGAUUAAGAAAAAUUCUGGGUGUAGUAGUCCAGUAAUUA